rnacentral:ribozyme from 1 species
CAAUGAAGAAAGGAAAAGAACACAAAAGAAGCAAAUGAAAGAAACACGCGCUCCGCUUGUUUUCAUUCCAUUUGUUCUUUCUGUUCUUUUCGUUCUUCAUUCACUUCUCCUCUUGUUCCCUUUGCCUUUAAAUUAAUUACAAAUGAAGUGCGUGAAUUAAAUUAAAAUAAAACAACACAAAACAACACGCUCAUUCAUGGUUCGUUCCUUUGUUUUCUUU